UACGAAGGGGCUAGCGUUGCUCGGAAUCACUGGGCGUAAAGCGCACGUAGGCGGAUUGUUAAGUCAGGGGUGAAAUCCUGGAGCUCAACUCCAGAACUGCCUUUGAUACUGGCGAUCUUGAGUCCGGGAGAGGUGAGUGGAACUGCGAGUGUAGAGGUGAAAUUCGUAGAUAUUCGGAAGAACACCAGUGGCGAAGGCGACUUACUGGACACAUAUUGACGCUGAGGAGCGAAAGCGUGGGGAGCGAACAGGA
rnacentral:rRNA from 1 species